UACGUAGGGUGCAAGCGUUGUCCGGAUUUAUUGGGCGUAAAGAGCGUGUAGGCGGCCUGGAAGGUCAGCUGUGAAAACUCGAGGCUCAACCUCGAGACGUCGGUUGAAACCACCUGGCUAGAGUCCGGAAGAGGAGUGUGGAAUUCCCGGUGUAGCGGUGAAAUGCGCAGAUAUCAGGAGGAACACCAGCGGCGAAGGCGGUGCUCUGGGCCGAUACUGACGCUGAGGAGCGAAAGCGUGGGGGAGCGA
rnacentral:rRNA from 1 species